AUUGAGCGCUGGCGGCAGGCUUAACACAUGCAAGUCGAGCGGGGUGAUGGUGCUUGCACUAUCACUUAGCGGCGGACGGGUGAGUAAUGCUUAGGAAUCUGCCUAUUAGUGGGGGACAACAUCUCGAAAGGGAUGCUAAUACCGCAUACGUCCUACGGGAGAAAGAAGGGGAUCACUUGUGACCUUGCGCUAAUAGAUGAGCCUAAGUCGGAUUAGCUAGUGGGUGGGGUAAAGGCCUACCAAGGCGACGAUCUGUAGCGGGUCUGAGAGGAUGAUCCGCCACACUGGGACUGAGACACGGCCCCGACUCCUACGGGAGGCAUCAGUGGGGAAUAUUGGACAAUGGGGGGAACCCUGAUCCAGCCAUGCCGCGUGUGUGAAGAAGGCCUUAUGGUUGUAAAGCACUUUAAGCGAGGAGGAGGCUCUUUUGGUUAAUACCCAAGAUGAUUGGACGUUACUCGCAGAAUAAGCACCGGCUAACUCUGUGCCAGCCGCCGCCGUAA
rnacentral:rRNA from 1 species